GGCCCCGUCGUCUAGCGGCCCAGGACAUUUGGUUUUCAUCCAAAGAAUCAGGGGUUCGAAUCCCCUCGGGGUCA
rnacentral:tRNA from 2 species